AGAGUUUGAUCAUGGCUCAGAUUGAACGCUGGCGGCAGGCCUAACACAUGCAAGUCGAGCGGUAGCACAGAGAGCUUGCUCUCGGGUGACGAGCGGCGGACGGGUGAGUAAUGUCUGGGAAACUGCCUGAUGGAGGGGGAUAACUACUGGAAACGGUAGCUAAUACCGCAUAAUGUCGCAAGACCAAAGUGGGGGACCUUCGGGCCUCAUGCCAUCAGAUGUGCCCAGAUGGGAUUAGCUAGUAGGUGGGGUAACGGCUCACCUAGGCGACGAUCCCUAGCUGGUCUGAGAGGAUGACCAGCCACACUGGAACUGAGACACGGUCCAGACUCCUACGGGAGGCAGCAGUGGGGAAUAUUGCACAAUGGGCGCAAGCCUGAUGCAGCCAUGCCGCGUGUGUGAAGAAGGCCUUCGGGUUGUAAAGCACUUUCAGCGGGGAGGAAGGCGGUGAGGUUAAUAACCUCAUCGAUUGACGUUACCCGCAGAAGAAGCACCGGCUAACUCCGUGCCAGCAGCCGCGGUAAUACGGAGGGUGCAAGCGUUAAUCGGAAUUACUGGGCGUAAAGCGCACGCAGGCGGUCUGUCAAGUUGGAUGUGAAAUCCCCGGGCUCAACCUGGGAACUGCAUUCGAAACUGGCAGGCUAGAGUCUUGUAGAGGGGGGUAGAAUUCCAGGUGUAGCGGUGAAAUGCGUAGAGAUCUGGAGGAAUACCGGUGGCGAAGGCGGCCCCCUGGACAAAGACUGACGCUCAGGUGCGAAAGCGUGGGGAGCAAACAGGAUUAGAUACCCUGGUAGUCCACGCCGUAAACGAUGUCGAUUUGGAGGUUGUGCCCUUGAGGCGUGGCUUCCGGAGCUAACGCGUUAAAUCGACCGCCUGGGGAGUACGGCCGCAAGGUUAAAACUCAAAUGAAUUGACGGGGGCCCGCACAAGCGGUGGAGCAUGUGGUUUAAUUCGAUGCAACGCGAAGAACCUUACCUGGUCUUGACAUCCACAGAACUUAGCAGAGAUGCUUUGGUGCCUUCGGGAACUGUGAGACAGGUGCUGCAUGGCUGUCGUCAGCUCGUGUUGUGAAAUGUUGGGUUAAGUCCCGCAACGAGCGCAACCCUUAUCCUUUGUUGCCAGCGGUUAGGCCGGGAACUCAAAGGAGACUGCCAGUGAUAAACUGGAGGAAGGUGGGGAUGACGUCAAGUCAUCAUGGCCCUUACGACCAGGGCUACACACGUGCUACAAUGGCAUAUACAAAGAGAAGCGACCUCGCGAGAGCAAGCGGACCUCAUAAAGUAUGUCGUAGUCCGGAUUGGAGUCUGCAACUCGACUCCAUGAAGUCGGAAUCGCUAGUAAUCGUAGAUCAGAAUGCUACGGUGAAUACGUUCCCGGGCCUUGUACACACCGCCCGUCACACCAUGGGAGUGGGUUGCAAAAGAAGUAGGUAGCUUAACCUUCGGGAGGGCGCUUACCACUUUGUGAUUCAUGACUGGGGUGAAGUCGUAACAAGGUAACCGUAGGGGAACCUGCGGUUGGAUCACCU
rnacentral:rRNA from 1 species